rnacentral:rRNA from 1 species
UACGUAGGGUGCGAGCGUUGUCCGGAAUUACUGGGCGUAAAGAGUUCGUAGGCGGUUUGUCGCGUCGUUCGUGAAAACUUGGGGCUUAACUCCAAGCGUGCGGGCGAUACGGGCAGACUUGAGUACUACAGGGGAGACUGGAAUUCCUGGUGUAGCGGUGAAAUGCGCAGAUAUCAGGAGGAACACCGGUGGCGAAGGCGGUUCUCUGGGCAUUACCUGACGCUGAGGCGCGAAGGCGUGGGGAGCGAACGGG